rnacentral:rRNA from 1 species
ACGUAGGUCCCGAGCGUUAUCCGGAUUUAUUGGGCGUAAAGCGAGCGCAGGCGGUUAGAUAAGUCUGAAGUUAAAGGCUGUGGCUUAACCAUAGUACGCUUUGGAAACUGUUUAACUUGAGUGCAAGAGGGGAGAGUGGAAUUCCAUGUGUAGCGGUGAAAUGCGUAGAUAUAUGGAGGAACACCGGUGGCGAAAGCGGCUCUCUGGCUUGUAACUGACGCUGAGGCUCGAAAGCGUGGGGAGCAAACAG